GAACCAGCCAAUCAGAGCAAGCGAGGCGGGAUGGGCUCAACCAAUCAAAUCAGCGUGCCUGAUUAAAUCGGAAAACAGCUGAAGUCCCUCUGAAUCAGUCCAACACUCCUCCUUCCUUCAGCCUUUUCCUCCCACACUCCACUAUCCACAUUCAAAA